GAUGAACGCUGGCGGCGUGCCUAAUACAUGCAAGUCGAGCGAACAGACGAGGAGCUUGCUCCUCUGACGUUAGCGGCGGACGGGUGAGUAACACGUGGAUAACCUACCUAUAAGACUGGGAUAACUUCGGGAAACCGGAGCUAAUACCGGAUAAUAUAUUGAACCGCAUGGUUCAAUAGUGAAAGACGGUUUUGCUGUCACUUAUAGAUGGAUCCGCGCCGCAUUAGCUAGUUGGUAAGGUAACGGCUUACCAAGGCAACGAUGCGUAGCCGACCUGAGAGGGUGGCCCGCCAACCUGGAACUGAAAACCGGCCCCGACCCCGACGGGGGGGAACGGGAGGGAAUCUUGCCGAAGGGGGGAAAGGCUGAAGGAGGAAGCCCGGGGGGAGGGAAGAGGGUUUAGGAAUCAAAAACCUUUUUUAUGGGGAAAAAAAAAUUUUGAAAGAAACUCUGCGCGUUUGGAGGUUCCCAAGAAAAAAACCCCCGCCAACCUCGGU
rnacentral:rRNA from 1 species